GAUGAACGCUGGCGGCGUGCUUAACACAUGCAAGUCGAACGGAAAGGCCCUUUUGGGUGUACUCUAGUGGCGAACGGGGGAGUAACACGUGAGUAACCUUCCCUUGCCUUCGGGAUAAGUUCAGGAAACUGGGGCUAAUACCGGUUAGGAAUCCUUGCUGCAUGGUGGGGGUUGGAAAGCUCCGGCGGCUUUGGAUGGACUCGUGGCCGUUUAUCGUGUUGGCGGGGUAGAGGCUUACCAAGGCGACGACGGGUAGCCGGCGUGAGAGGAGGACCGGCGACACUGGAGGUGAGACACGGUCCAGAGUCCUACGGGAGGCAGAGGCGGGGAAUAGUGGACGCAGGGCGCAAUCCUGCUCCAGGCAUACCGGGUGGGUGAAGAAGGCCUGCGGGUUGUAUAGCCCUUUUGGGGGGGAAGAAAAGUAGCAGGUGAAGAGCCGGCUGUUCUGACGGUACCUAAAGAAUAAGCACCGGCUAACUUCGUG
rnacentral:rRNA from 1 species